UUUCCGUAGGUGAGCCUGCGGAAGGAUCAUUCACAAUAAGUGUUUUAUGACACUUUUUAAACAAUCCCUAUCCACCUUCCGUGCAAAGUUAUGCGACCCCCUAUCGUUCUCUUUUAGGUUACGGAAGGGGGAACCGCUCCCACGUACCAACAUCACCUUUAACUUAUUUGUCUGUACAUUUGUUAUCACGAUUUACCUUAAUUCGAAAAUACAACUUUCAACAACGGAUCUCUUGGUUCUG
rnacentral:misc_RNA from 1 species